rnacentral:rRNA from 1 species
AGCCUUAUCGGUGGAUCACUCGGCUCGUGGAUCGAUGAAGAACGCAGCAAACUGCGAUAAUUUGUGCGAACUGCAGAAACCUUGAGCACAAAAGUUUUGAACGUAUAUUGCAGCAUUGGGGUCAAACCCUUUGCUACGUCUGGUUCAGGGUCAUUUUCUUUUAAAGCGAAAGCUUUAAUUUAUAUAUGCUAUUGAUGCUUUAUAUUUUAAGAGGUUUGUUGUUUGUCAUAAUUUUAUAAAUAUAACUACAAAAAUCAAGCAACUUUGACCUGAACUCAGUCGAGAGCACCCGCUGAACUUAAGCAUAUCAGUAAGCGGAGGAAAAGAAACUAAACAGGAUUCCCCCAGUAACGGCGAGUGAACAGGGAAAUGUCCAUCGCUAAAUCAUUUUGUCUCAGGCAUUAUGAGGUGUAGCGUAUAAGCCGUAAACUUUGAUCGAGUGUCUCAAACAAGUCCCCUUGACAGGGGUUCCACAGAAGGUGCAAGUCCUGUACAUUGAGAUAGUUGAUCGAUAUCUGCGUGCUUUAGAGUCGGGUUGUUUGGGAUCGCAGCCCAAAGUCGGUGGUAAACUUCAUCUAAGACUCAAUAUUGCCACGAGACCGAUAGCAAACAAGUACUGUGAAGGAAAGUUGCAAAGCACUUUGAAGAGAGAGUUAAAGAGGACGUGAAACCGGUGAGGUGGAAACGGAUAGAGUCGGCGUAUCUCUCAAGUAUUCAUUUACAUUAUUUUUAUGUUGUGAUCUCUGAGCUCCAGAUUGGGACAGAAAGAAGCAGCAUAAUUUUCUGUGAUGCAUUUACUUGUUUGGUGCUUGGGGAUGUUUGAGGCAGAUUUGUGUCCGCCGUUUUGAGGCCAGCUUGCUGGUACCCAAACGGUGUUAGCAUUUUUUGUCUUGAACAUUUGAGUAUGGCUUACGGGCAUUUAUUGGUUCGAUCUGAGUGUAAGUUACGGUCGCAUGCGACACGUGCUUUCCAAUUAGUUCGGUCCAGUUAAUGCUCUCGUACUCGUUCCCCAUGUAAAAGCCGGUCAUCUAUCCGACCCGUCUUGAAACACGGACCAAGGAGUUUAUCGUGUGCGCAAGUUUUUGGGUGUUAAAAACCUAAAGGCGAAAUGAAAGUAAAUGGCUCUUUAGAGUCUGAUGUGCGAUCUAGUAAAAAAGUGCAGCAUGGCCCCAUUCUAACUGUUUACAGUAGGGUGGAGGAAGAGCGUACGCGGUGAGACCCGAAAGAUGGUGAACUAUUCCUGAGCAGGACGAAGCCAGAGGAAACUCUGGUGGAAGUCCGAAGCGGUUCUGACGUGCAAAUCGAUCGUCUGACUUGGGUAUAGGGGCGAAAGACUAAUCGAACCAUCUAGUAGCUGGUUCCCUCUGAAGUUUCCCCCAGGAUAGCUGGAGCUCACGCGUAGUUAUACUCGGUAAAGCGAAUGAUUAGAGGACUUGGGAACGAAAUGUUCUUAACCUAUUCUCAAACUCUAAAUGGGUAUGAUGUCAAAGUUGCUUGAUUAUGAACUUUGGCGUUGAAUACGAGCUCCAAGUGGGCCAUUUUUGGUAAGCAGAACUGGCGAUGUGGGAUGAACCAAACGCGGAGUUGCGGUGCCAAAGUACCCGCUCAUUAGACCCCAUAAAAGGUGUUGGUUGAUACAGACAGCAGGACGGUGGCCAUGGAAGUCGGAAUCCGCUAAGGAGUGUGUAACAACUCACCUGCCGAAUCAACUAGCCCUGAAAAUGGAUGGCGCUGGAGCGGGUCACCUAUUCUCUGCCGUCAUAUGCUUGUAUUUUCUGUGAAAAGUCUUGCAAUGACGUGUAAGAGGGUCGUAGUGGUUGCGUUGAAGGCUUUGGGUGUGCACCCAGCUGGAGCUUCCACUAGUGCAGAUCUUGGUGGUAGUAGCAAAUAUUCAAGUGAGAUCCUUGAAGACUGAAGUGGAGAAGGGUUCCACGUGAACAGUAGUUGAAUGUGGGUCAGUCGAUCCUAAGGCACCGGCUAAACCCGUCUAGACACUUCGGGGAGAUGAAAUACUUAACGGUAUUUUGUCUACCUGGUUGCCGAAAGGGAAGUGGGUUAAUAUUCCCACACCAGGCAUGGGAGAUGGUGAUCCGCGAGGAUUACUUUGCGCGGUGACGCAAACGAACUCGCAGACCUCGUGUGGAGUCCGGGCCAGAGUUCUCUUUUCUGGUUUAGAAAUCAUGUCCCUGGAAGUGGCUCAGCCUGAGAUAGGGAUGCUGGUCUCGUAAAGCGCAGCGGUUCCUGUUGUGUCCCGUGUGCUCCACAUGAGCCGUGAAAAUGCGAGGGAGGCAAUUUAAAAUCUCCUGCCUGAUCGUACCCAUAUCCGCAGCAGGUCUCCAAGGUGAACAGCCUCUAGUCGAUAGAAUAAUGUAGGUAAGGGAAGUCGGCAAAUUAGAUUCGUAACUUCGGGAAAAGAAUUGGCUCUAAAGGUUGGGUCAGUCGGGCUGUUGUGUGAAACAGGUGGACUUUGCUCGUGGCUGCUUGAGCUUCCUUACGGGGCGGCGCUUGUGGACUAGUAGUGAGGACUGCUUGUGGAGUGCUUCAGCUGCGUGCUAUUUCGCAAGAUAUAGUACUUCGAUUGGCGCUGAACAACCAGUUUAGAACUGGCACGAACUCCGGGAAUCCGACUGUCUAAUUAAAACAGAGGAGACGGAUGGUCCUUGCAGGACGUUGACCGUGUCUGAUUUCUGCCCAGUGCUCUGAAUGUUAAGCCAAGGAAACUUGAUUAAGCGCGGGUAAACGGCGGGAGUAACUAUGACUCUCUUAAGGUAGCCAAAUGCCUCGUCGGCUAACUACCGACGCGCACGAAUGGAUCAACGAGAUUCCCACUGUCCCUAUCUACUAUCUAGCGAAACCACAGCCAAGGGAACGGGCUUGGCAAAUUUAGCGGGGAAAGAAGACCCUGUUGAGCUUGACUCUAGUCUGACUUUGUGAAGAAUCAUGAGAGGUGUAGCAUAAGUGGGAGUCGCAAGACAACAGUGAAAUACCACUACUUUCAUCGAUUCCUACUUAAUCGGUAAAACGGAGUU